CAGUCGCCACGGUAAUACGUAGGUGGCAAGCGUUGUCCGGAAUUAUUGGGCGUAAAGGGCUCGCAGGCGGUUUCUUAAGUCUGAUGUGAAAGCCCCCGGCUCAACCGGGGAGGGUCAUUGGAAACUGGGAAACUUGAGUGCAGAAGAGGAGAGUGGAAUUCCACGUGUAGCGGUGAAAUGCGUAGAGAUGUGGAGGAACACCAGUGGCGAAGGCGACUCUCUGGUCUGUAACUGACGCUGAGGAGCGAAAGCGUGGGGAGCGAACAGGAUUAGAUACCCCAGUAGUCCCUGUCUCUUAUAU
rnacentral:rRNA from 1 species